rnacentral:rRNA from 1 species
CCCUUAGAUGUUCUGGGCCGCACGCGUGCUACACUGAGUGGAUCAGCGGGUCAGGUUGCGCGAAAGUGUUUCCUAAUCUUUAAAUCUGCUCGUGAUGGGGAUUGACGGUUGCAAUUUUCCGUCAUGAACGAGGAAUACCUUGUAAGCGCGGGUCAUCAUCCCGCGCUGAAUACGUCCCUGCCCUUUGUACACACCGCCCGUCGCUCCUACCGAUUGAGUGGUCCGGUGAGGCUUUGGGAUCUGAGCGGAAAGAGCGUUUCGCUGUUUCUGCCCGGAAAACUCAGUCGAACCUUAUCAUUUAGAGGAAGGAGAAGUCGUAACA